GGAUUUUCUUUUUAAUUAAAUACCACUUCAUAAUGCUAUUUGCACAUAGCACACACAUUUUUUUGAAAAAUAAGACAUGCCAUACAUUAGUCACUAAAUUAACAAAAUGUGAGCAUCCACAUAGAAUAUAUUCUAAGGUGACUUUAUUUACACAGCUUCUCAGAGGAACACACAGUAAAAUUUUUUGCCUGUCAGCCAGUGUUGGACCAGAUUUGGAAUUCACAAGGCUGCGGGUUGGAGGUUCCCCAACACUACCCUGAUGGACAUCUUGUCUCCACACUGUGCCAUCAAGCUGCCUCGUUUCCACCAGAAAAGCAAUGGAGAUGUCAAUCCUCCCUUGCCUACCCAGCGUUCAAUUCCAUCCUGCAAAACCCUCGCAUGACCUGAGGCUUCAUGUGAUGGCAUGUCAGACCUGCAGCUUCGUGGGAGGGGUGGGGGUGGGUGGAGUGGGGCUAAGCUCCCUUCAAAAGCUGCAGGCACCCAUCUGUGAAGAACUGCUUUUACUAUCUGAUUAGGGACCCCAGAAUCCCAGCCUUUAGAAGAGGG